GACCCACUGGCCUAAUGGAUAAGGCAUUUGUCUCCAGAGCUGGGGAUUGUGGGUUCAAGUCCCAUCUGGGUUG
rnacentral:tRNA from 1 species